rnacentral:rRNA from 1 species
GAUGAGCAUGCGUCCCAUUAGCUAGUUGGUAAGGUAACGGCUUACCAAGGCUACGAUGGGUAGGGGCCCUGAGAGGGAGAUCCCCCACACUGGUACUGAGACACGGACCAGACUCCUACGGGAGGCAGCAGUGAGGAAUAUUGGACAAUGGGCGCAAGCCUGAUCCAGCCAUGCCGCGUGCAGGAUGACGGUCCUAUGGAUUGUAAACUGCUUUUGCACAGGAAGAAACAACAUUACGUGUAAUGUCUUGACGGUACUGUGAGAAUAAGGAUCGGCUAACUCCGUGCCAGCAGCCGCGGUAAUACGGAGGAUCCAAGCGUUAUCCGGAAUCAUUGGGUUUAAAGGGUCCGUAGGCGGUUUAGUAAGUCAGUGGUGAAAGCCCAUCGCUCAACGGUGGAACGGCCAUUGAUACUGCUAGACUUGAAUUAUUAGGAAGUAACUAGAAUAUGUAGUGUAGCGGUGAAAUGCUUAGAGAUUACAUGGAAUACCAAUUGCGAAGGCAGGUUACUACUAAUGGAUUGACGCUGAUGGAC